rnacentral:misc_RNA from 1 species
UCCGGUUUGACACCGGCAGUCUCCUAUGAGUCCCCGACAUGACUCGCUGGCAACAUAGGACAAGGGUUGCGCUCGUUGCGGGACUUAACCCAACACCUCACGGCACGAGCUGACGACAACCAUGCACCACCUGUGCAGGACCCCGAAGGACACCACAUCUCUGUGGCUUUUCCCUGCAUGUCAAGCCCUGGUAAGGUUCUUCGCGUUGCGUCGAAUUAAGCCACAUGCUCCGCCGCUUGUGCGGGCCCCCGUCAAUUCCUUUGAGUUUUAGCCUUGCGGCCGUAAUCCCCAGGCGGGGUGCUUAAUGCGUUAGCUACGGCACGGAGAGAGUGGACUACUCCCCACACCUAGCACCCAUCGUUUACGGCGUGGACUAC